ACGAAAGAAAGCUCCAGUGGCACAUAACUCCGCUCAGGAUCCCCUUGUCCUACAACUUCUUGAGGAAGUAAACAAGUUGAAGGCUGAACGUCAGGCUGAAAUACUUGACUGGAACCAACCCAGGCCUGGCCCUCUUACAAGGAGGAUCCUCAACACCCCCCUUCAAGCAAAGACAAAGCAAAAGCUUGGCUUGCAACUUUAUACUGGAAAAUAGGACCCGAUUGAGCACCUUAACCUCUUUGAGUCCACCAUGGCAUACCGGAUG
rnacentral:lncRNA from 1 species